UUAUAUCUCUUUGGGUUCAUUUCUCCUGCCAGUUUACCUUUAAACCAGCACAACAAGGAUGGGAUCCCCACCAGCCUCUCUUCUCCAUGCCCAACUGUCUUAGCCUCAGGGAGUCAACAAGGAAAUGUUCUUUCCUGGACUUGAUAGUUACAAACAAGGAAGAAUUGGUCAGGGAUAUGAAAGUUGGAGCAGCCUUGGCUGAAUGGCCAUAUGACCACUGGGGUCACAUGAUCAAAGAGAAUACAGGAGGAGGAGUAUCCAAAGAGGAGGAAGCAGGGCAAAAAUCAGGACUACAAAUCUGCAUUUCAGGAACUCAGACUCCAACUUCUUCAGAGAGCUUCUUGGAAUAAUCCCAUAGGAUAUGACCCUGCAUAGAAGAAGGGUCCAGGAGAGCUGGUUGAUAUUCAAAUAUCGCCUCCUUCAAGCUCAAGAAAGCUCCAUCCCAGCAAAUAAGAGAUCAAUCAAAGGCAGCAGGAGACCUGCAUGGAUGAGCAAGGAGUUCCUACAUUAAUUCAGACAUAAAAAGGAAGUGCACAAGAUGAGGAAGAUGAUAAGUGACCCAGAGAGUGGGUGGAAUAUAUCUUUAAUAAGGGUAUAUUUGUCAGAAAAAUAACAGAAGGUACUUCUUCUCAGUGUUGGAGCUCGUUUUAUUUUAUUUUAUUAGGAUAUCUUGUUUGAUUAGCCCUUUCUAUCUGGAAAGUUGAGGAAAAAACACUUAAGGGCUAAUUUUGCUCACCACAUAAUAAGGGGAAAGAUGAAAGAGGGAAAGAAUAUUUAAGGGUUUAAUUCUAGGUAUAGGAAACACGUCUUCUGUACUUCUGGAACUUUGUUCACAUGACAGCCAUAUUCUCUUGGAGGUGAAAACCUUGCGGGCAUUAACCACCAUGCAAGUUCUGCAGUGUGGCCAUAGCAGAAAUAAAAAGAAACACAGGCCAGACGUGUAUCAGAAAAAAGAAUGACUGACUGAGAAUCAGGACCAUGGCAUGUUCCAGCCCUAAGUCUAUAAGUACACUGAGUAAGAAUUAAAUGAUCUUAUUUCUCUGUCAUUUGGAAUACUCUGCAGUGGGAGCUUCCAGGAGUGCUGGAUCAUGUGCUGACAAUACUGCUAUUAGGCUGUUUGCACUGACAAAUAUAAUAAGAAGCAAGAUGGUGGGGACUGAACAUGGAAGCCUCUGUAAAAUCUGCAGGCAAUAUUAACUCUCAGAAAGAAGAGAAGCCACCAGACAAGGAGAAACAGGUUAAAAAUAAUUGGCAAGAACCUUUGGAAACUUAGAAACCAACAGAUGGGAGAAACCAUAUUGCCUGGAGUUUGACUGGAUCUAAGAAAUAGAGCCAAACCCAGACCUCCAAACCAGUGAAGAGCUGAUGAUAGAAGCACUGCCUAUAUUGAUCUGAAGGGCAUGGAAUGGGGCAAAAGGAAUAGGGGAAGAUACUAUCACUGCAGUGGAGAAGAUCUGAUGGAGAAUGAAAAUGGGCAUCUUUUUAUUUCAAAGAAUACAGUUACAGAAAAAUUGAGAGAAGAAUUAAGCUUCUUAAUUAUGUUAUAAGCACAUAGCUUCUUCUGGAAGCUAAUAUGGCAGAAUUAUUUUUUAAAAUAAACAAGAUGAAAUCAGGUUUCUUGGGAACAGCAAAAUAACAUACUGGUAAAUCUCUUGGUUAAUUAUGAAAUGAAAAAGAUAACAAAAACCAAUAAGCUAGUAGUCUGAAGGUAUCUCUGGAACAGAUGAACAGUUACACAUAACAACUUUGGAGAAAGCUUGACGAGAUUAAAUUGGAAGAUUAUCAUGGCAUCCCUAUCAUUAAUGCCAUCUUCAUUACAUCAUCCUCAAAUCAAAGGAAAUGAGAAGGGAACAUCAAUAUGAGAUUUAAAAGAAAGAUACUCCUGGGGGAUCAAAUAUUUUAUAUUUGUCAGCUACUCAAGAAAAACAUGGAAAAUAAUAUUAAAUAUAUUUAUUUUGUAAAAUCUGGGGGGGGGGGGAGAAACACAUCAUGACAUUCUGUAAAAUAGCCUUGGGUUUUCAUGAAAAGUUAGGAAUCUCAAAAUAUUUAAAUGAUAAAAUUAGAUGUUUGAAGCUGAAAAAUACACUAUAUAGAUAAAGAGGGAAAUCUCUUCACUGUAUCAGUUUAGGAAUACUCUGGGAUGUUCUGUAUCUUCUUUAAAAUUACUACUUAAAAUGAUUUAAGAGAAGAUAAAAUUUUCAGAAUAUCACAAGUACAGAAGAGUUCCACCAUCUCUUUAGACAUGUUAAUAACAUGGUUAUGAUACAAGAUAUUUAAGAUGUGGAAAAAAUAAUUAUUGGAUUUGAACAAAAGAAUUUAAGAUCAACAAGUAGAAGAAACUUAUUAUUGUAAGCUGACAAAUUAUAUUAGCCACCAGCCUGUAAACAUAAAUAUCAGUAAGUUAAAGCAAUUUAAAUGGCUACAAGCAUUAACUGAGAAUUGUUUGGGGACAGCGUAUAUUAAGGCCUGGGUGCAAAGACAGAAUGUUUAUAAUUAUUCUUCAGAUAAUUUCAGCACUAAAAAUUAAUUGUGAAAUACUUUCUAUAUAAAAGAUACUUAAAAGUGUUGGUUUUUACAGAUGGAACAUUUGAGUAAGAAAGACAAUUCAAUAUAUUAUAAAAUUAAGUACCUAUUUAUAUUUGGGUUAGAGAAUUUUGUUUUUCAUUAAAUUUAUAGGAACAUAAUUGUCAUUUGAAUUUUCCAUUCCUUCUUUGAGAAUACCUUGAAAUAAUAAAUAGGUUCAAAAGGAAGAAUACACUCAAGUGUCAUUUUCAUAGGAAAUAGGCUGGUUUCACUUUCCCUAAACAUUUUCCACUUCGAGUUUUUGAAGGAUCAUCACCUCUCAAGGACCACUGAAGAUUCAAUGUUGUUUAACAGAACUAAAAAUUUGAGACAGUCAUACCAACCAAAAAAAAAAAAGUAGCAGCGUGUAAUGCAAUGCUGUACAAUACUGAUGCAGCUGUUUUUCUUACUAAAGCAAUCUGAGGACUGAUGAACAUCGAAAUACUGAGUUGCAAGUUAUCCCUUUGAUAUUGUCACGGUUCAUUGAAGCUGAAAGAAGCUGUGCACUUCAAGGAGUGAAAUCUGUGCAGUGUCUUUUUUUUUCACCCUUUGAGCAUCUAACAUGAGGAUAUUUGCAGCCUGAAAGUUGUUAGUUUAUCAACUAGUUUUUAGACAUGACCUGCUUGAAAAUGCAGUGCUGUAACAAAAAGGGUAAAGAAGUAUAAGCAAACCCAGUCAAGUAAUUUGUGUUGCUCUUUUUCUCAGAAGUAUUUGCUGAUGACAACCUUAGUCUUCUUGUGUGCAUAAACUAUAUACAAAUGGGCAAUGGAAAGAGCACUUCUGGGCAUUUACUGAGCAGCCAGAGUAGGGGAAAGCCAGUACAGUGCUCAGGAGUGAUCCAGCUGGCAGCUGGCAUCUGGCAUGUGUCCUAGCCAUCAAGUUUCCUCCUGCAUUAAGGAAGAAGUCUUUGUCCUGUACUUAUUCAGUUAUUCAGGCCAAUAUAUUUUUUAAAAUAGGUCCUAAAAAUGUAUUUUUAAAAAUUAGGCCCGAAAUCCAUACAUUCAACUUAAGGAAAUUGAACUUUCUAAAUUAUUAGGCAUCUGGAAAUUUCCCCAUCAGCUGGCUGGACUACAUAUUAAGAAAUCAAACGUACCAAGGCUGUUCUCUGGAACUAAAGGCAAUUGGCAUGGAGCAGCCCCCACCCCCACAGCUAUGAGACUAGGCUGUCCAGAACAGGGUGGCCUGACCUAAGUUGCCUGUUGGGAACGGUCCCUUACCCAUGGCGUUACCCAAACAUUCCUGGGAACUGUUAAAAAGCUGGCAAAGUCCAGACUUCUCCAAUGGAUUGUACUUGCAUUUUAAUGAUAUAAAGCAUUAAAUUAAAGUGCCUGAGUAUUCUCUCCAGUGUUUUUCAAUGGCUAUCACAGACAUGGCUAGUAAGUACUCCUAGGUGCUCAGGAUUUCUAAACACAGAGCCUCUUGUUUGAUUUUUUUUUUUUUUUACUAUUUCACUGUUCCUGUUUGGUAAAGAUUAGCCUAAGUCACUUUAUUAAUUUUCUAAUCUCAGUGAGAAAAAACCUUCCAUCAUAUCCUUCCCACCAGACUAGAAUGUUCUUUCCAGCUUUUCACCACCUCACUUUCUCAGAUAUGGGGUUAACAUUAGCCUGUGAAAGUUAAACUUUAUGCAGUCCUUUGUGAAUUCGGUCUUGUUCCAUGUACUGUACUUUUUAGGCAGGCAGACCACAAUCCUCUUGCUUGUAUUAAACAAUAUCUUAAUCUAA